rnacentral:rRNA from 1 species
GCCUACAGCCAUACCGCCCUGAACACGCAUGAUCGAAGCAGCUGAGCAGGGUCAGACCUGAUUAGUACUUUGGUGGGGGAAUCUUAAGAUCCUAGUGCUAAAGGUG